AGUGGAGAGGUAGAGCUACUGAAGAUCCUGACGCGGCACUGUUAGGUACCAAAGCCUUCCAUCACUGCAACUGGGAGAUCUGAGUCCUUACACAUUUCGGGGAAGCAAGCGUCACUUUCCUCUCUCAACUCAUCGGUGGUGAAGCGUCUCGUCCAGGAUUUUCAUAGCCUACAUUCAACAACGAGCAGUGAACGCGUUUGUGCCGUUAUCCCCCCCACCCCCGAAGGCUAACAACGGAGAGAAGAUAAAGUCACUUCUGCUGCAGAACUCCCUCCGUGCACCUUUUCAAGAUGAGCGAGCUGGCAUCCACUGACUCCACCAACAGCAGCCAGACGCCUGCAUCUGACAACAAAGGCAUCAGCAGUGAAG